rnacentral:rRNA from 1 species
UAAAGCGGGUGAAAAGCCCGCUCGCCGGAAGACCAAGGGUUCCUGUCCAACGUUAAUCGGGGCAGGGUGAGUCGACCCCUAAGGCGAGGCCGAAAGGCGUAGUCGAUGGGAAACAGGUUAAUAUUCCUGUACUUGGUGUUACUGCGAAGGGGGGACGGAGAAGGCUAUGUUGGCCGGGCGACGGUUGUCCCGGUUUAAGCGUGUAGGCUGGUUUUCCAGGCAAAUCCGGAAAAUCAAGGCUG